rnacentral:rRNA from 1 species
GGGUUGUGAGGUUAAGCGACUAAGCGUACACGGUGGAUGCCCUGGCAGUCAGAGGCGAUGAAGGACGUGCUAAUCUGCGAUAAGCGUCGGUAAGGUGAUAUGAACCGUUAUAACCGGCGAUUUCCGAAUGGGGAAACCCAGUGUGUUUCGACACACUAUCAUUAACUGAAUCCAUAGGUUAAUGAGGCGAACCGGGGGAACUGAAACAUCUAAGUACCCCGAGGAAAAGAAAUCAACCGAGAUUCCCCCAGUAGCGGCGAGCGAACGGGGAGCAGCCCAGAGCCUGAAUCAGUAUGUGUGUUAGUGGAAGCGUCUGGAAAGGCGCGCGAUACAGGGUGACAGCCCCGUACACAAAAAUGCACAUAUUGUGAGCUCGAUGAGUAGGGCGGGACACGUGGUAUCCUGUCUGAAUAUGGGGGGACCAUCCUCCAAGGCUAAAUACUCCUGACUGACCGAUAGUGAACCAGUACCGUGAGGGAAAGGCGAAAAGAACCCCGGCGAGGGGAGUGAAAAAGAACCUGAAACCGUGUACGUACAAGCAGUGGGAGCACGCUUAGGCGUGUGACUGCGUACCUUUUGUAUAAUGGGUCAGCGACUUAUAUUCUGUAGCAAGGUUAACCGAAUAGGGGAGCCGAAGGGAAACCGAGUCUUAACUGGGCGUUAAGUUGCAGGGUAUAGACCCGAAACCCGGUGAUCUAGCCAUGGGCAGGUUGAAGGUUGGGUAACACUAACUGGAGGACCGAACCGACUAAUGUUGAAAAAUUAGCGGAUGACUUGUGGCUGGGGGUGAAAGGCCAAUCAAACCGGGAGAUAGCUGGUUCUCCCCGAAAGCUAUUUAGGUAGCGCCUCGUGAAUUCAUCUCCGGGGGUAGAGCACUGUUUCGGCAAGGGGGUCAUCCCGACUUACCAACCCGAUGCAAACUGCGAAUACCGGAGAAUGUUAUCACGGGAGACACACGGCGGGUGCUAACGUCCGUCGUGAAGAGGGAAACAACCCAGACCGCCAGCUAAGGUCCCAAAGUCAUGGUUAAGUGGGAAACGAUGUGGGAAGGCCCAGACAGCCAGGAUGUUGGCUUAGAAGCAGCCAUCAUUUAAAGAAAGCGUAAUAGCUCACUGGUCGAGUCGGCCUGCGCGGAAGAUGUAACGGGGCUAAACCAUGCACCGAAGCUGCGGCAGCGACGCUUAUGCGUUGUUGGGUAGGGGAGCGUUCUGUAAGCCUGUGAAGGUGUACUGUGAGGUAUGCUGGAGGUAUCAGAAGUGCGAAUGCUGACAUAAGUAACGAUAAAGCGGGUGAAAAGCCCGCUCGCCGGAAGACCAAGGGUUCCUGUCCAACGUUAAUCGGGGCAGGGUGAGUCGACCCCUAAGGCGAGGCCGAAAGGCGUAGUCGAUGGGAAACAGGUUAAUAUUCCUGUACUUGGUGUUACUGCGAAGGGGGGACGGAGAAGGCUAUGUUGGCCGGGCGACGGUUGUCCCGGUUUAAGCGUGUAGGCUGGUUUUCCAGGCAAAUCCGGAAAAUCAAGGCUGAGGCGUGAUGACGAGGCACUACGGUGCUGAAGCAACAAAUGCCCUGCUUCCAGGAAAAGCCUCUAAGCAUCAGGUAACAUCAAAUCGUACCCCAAACCGACACAGGUGGUCAGGUAGAGAAUACCAAGGCGCUUGAGAGAACUCGGGUGAAGGAACUAGGCAAAAUGGUGCCGUAACUUCGGGAGAAGGCACGCUGAUAUGUAGGUGAAGUCCCUCGCGGAUGGAGCUGAAAUCAGUCGAAGAUACCAGCUGGCUGCAACUGUUUAUUAAAAACACAGCACUGUGCAAACACGAAAGUGGACGUAUACGGUGUGACGCCUGCCCGGUGCCGGAAGGUUAAUUGAUGGGGUCAGCGCAAGCGAAGCUCUUGAUCGAAGCCCCGGUAAACGGCGGCCGUAACUAUAACGGUCCUAAGGUAGCGAAAUUCCUUGUCGGGUAAGUUCCGACCUGCACGAAUGGCGUAAUGAUGGCCAGGCUGUCUCCACCCGAGACUCAGUGAAAUUGAACUCGCUGUGAAGAUGCAGUGUACCCGCGGCAAGACGGAAAGACCCCGUGAACCUUUACUAUAGCUUGACACUGAACAUUGAGCCUUGAUGUGUAGGAUAGGUGGGAGGCUUUGAAGUGUGGACGCCAGUCUGCAUGGAGCCGACCUUGAAAUACCACCCUUUAAUGUUUGAUGUUCUAACGUUGACCCGUGAUCCGGGUUGCGGACAGUGUCUGGUGGGUAGUUUGACUGGGGCGGUCUCCUCCUAAAGAGUAACGGAGGAGCACGAAGGUUGGCUAAUCCUGGUCGGACAUCAGGAGGUUAGUGCAAUGGCAUAAGCCAGCUUGACUGCGAGCGUGACGGCGCGAGCAGGUGCGAAAGCAGGUCAUAGUGAUCCGGUGGUUCUGAAUGGAAGGGCCAUCGCUCAACGGAUAAAAGGUACUCCGGGGAUAACAGGCUGAUACCGCCCAAGAGUUCAUAUCGACGGCGGUGUUUGGCACCUCGAUGUCGGCUCAUCACAUCCUGGGGCUGAAGUAGGUCCCAAGGGUAUGGCUGUUCGCCAUUUAAAGUGGUACGCGAGCUGGGUUUAGAACGUCGUGAGACAGUUCGGUCCCUAUCUGCCGUGGGCGCUGGAGAACUGAGGGGGGCUGCUCCUAGUACGAGAGGACCGGAGUGGACGCAUCACUGGUGUUCGGGUUGUCAUGCCAAUGGCACUGCCCGGUAGCUAAAUGCGGAAGAGAUAAGUGCUGAAAGCAUCUAAGCACGAAACUUGCCCCGAGAUGAGUUCUCCCUGACUCCUUGAGAGUCCUGAAGGAACGUUGAAGACGACGACGUUGAUAGGCCGGGUGUGUAAGCGCAGCGAUGCGUUGAGCUAACCGGUACUAAUGAACCGUGAGGCUUAACCUUACAACGCCGAAG